UACGUAGGAGACGAGCGUUGUCCGGAAUUACUGGGCGUAAAGCGCGUGUAGGCGGAUGGGCAAGUCUGCUGUGAAAGCUCCUGGCUUAACCGGGAGUGGUCGGUGGAAACUGCCAAUCUGGAGGACGGUAGAGGUAGGUAGAAUUCCCGGUGUAGUGGUGAAAUGCGUAGAGAUCGGGAGGAAUACCUGUGGCGAAGGCGGCCUACUGGGCCGGACCUGACGCUGAGACGCGAAGGCGCGGGGAGCAAACAGG
rnacentral:rRNA from 1 species